GAUCCCUGAUGUUUUCAGGUGAAUGACAUAGCAUUCCAUCCGGCUCAUGGUACGCUCGCAACUGUUGGAUCAGACGGUCGGUUCUCGUUCUGGGAUAAAGAUGCAAGAACUAAAUUGAAAACAUCCGAACAGCUUGAUCAGCCCGUGUCGGCAUGCGCCUUCAAUGCCGGCGGUGAACUCUUUGCCUACUGUACAAGUUAUGAUUGGUCGAAGGGUCACGAAUAUCACAACCCACAGAAACGGAGCAGCAUUUUCCUGCAUUCCUGCUUCGAAGAGUUGAAGCCGCGUAACAAGAAGUGAGAGACUAGUGGAUCAACGAAUGAAUUAUUGACGUGUGAGAUAUCCAUGUAUAUAUAUGACAGUAUAUGCUUAUACAAUAAACAGUUUUAUAUUGAAAUAAUUAUGGCAAAUGUUCUUAACAGAAUGUAACGUACAUAGUUCACAGUUCAGUUGACGCUCAACAGUACUGCUGACGUUUAAAUGAACGUUAAUGAACGUCUUAAUCGUUAAAGCUUAAGCUAAUAAUUCCAUAGAGAAAUUUAUUGGAAUGUAGAAGCAAUUUUACAUUGAUAAAAUAAUUACAUGCUGUAAAACUCGUCCGAGUUUCGAAAGCAGUAAAUGUGGCUGUGCCACAUGACAGUCGUUAAGAGAAACAACACGAUGACAGUGUGAAAAGACGUUUUAAAAUGGAAUGUUUACAGACCAAAAGACUUUAAAAGCACUACCUUCUUAAAACACUUGCAAUAAGCCAUAAUUGCUUUCUGCUACCAAACACGUGGUCAGCAGAUAUUUAAACGGUUUGUGCGAAUUCGAAAGGUGACGAAAAAAGCAAUCUGAAGCUUAUAAUUGCAGUUGUUUCUUUUUAUAACCAUGCAUAACCAUAAUACCAAGAGCAUAUUAAGAAGGCUAUAUUCUUCUUUAUAUGCUCUUGAUAAUACUGUAUACGUAUUUGGUAGCCAAAAACUCCUACGACAAUAGGAAUCAAACAAUGGCUUACUAUAUCAGGUUAAUGAUCUUUAAAUUUACUACUUGAGAAUAAUGUUAAAAGUUUCAAAAUGCCUUAUAUUAUAUAAACCAAUUUAAAGCAAGCCAACUUUAUAUAGCAAAGAACAAACAUGAGACACUUUCACUCGUCAUGUCAUAAACUUACGAUAAUGCUUAUCGUCACAUUUCGGUCAACUUGAAUUGAACUGAAUUGAAUUGAAUUGAACUCGCCAUAAUUUCUGAGAACAAUGUCUAAUACCAUCGGCUGAUCAUUGUUCAAUGCACACGCACAAGAUUGACAUUGAAAAGGUGAUCAAGCAUAUUGCCAGUGUUUCCGUCGUGGACAGAUUGUUUAUUGAUUGCGCCCUAGGGGUUCAUAUAGUUUAAUCGCGUGGUGAGAAUACACUUGCCACCCUCACUGACGCCUUUAGUUGAGCAAUGCAGUGAAUCGUGAUCAAUCUCAAGUGUAUUGUGAACGUCGCACACAACAUGAAUUGCGAAUGCACGAUCGCAGGGUGACUUCACACUCC